rnacentral:lncRNA from 1 species
GUAAAAACAUCUAGACAUUAUCUCCCAUUAUGUAAUCCAAGGUGGCAUAGCAGUGCAGAUGUAGUUUGUUUUCCUCUCAUUUACUUUUUGUAUUUUUCAGAUUUUUUGUAUAUAUUCCAAUUAAUUUUUCAAUAUCUUUUUCCAUUUUUAAAUUAAAUAUACCAUCCGGUAACCCGCCUCACUCAAUGUGACACGGAUCCACUAUUCUUUUAGACCCUACAGCCAAAACUUUCAUCAGAAGGUAGCCAGCAAAUUAGCUAAGUUACUCGCUAUUUAGUCAUUGUUAGCCACUGCCAGCGGCCUUUACCCUCUGCUCAGGCACCAGCCGUUUUUUUUAGCCUGGAUAAUACCUGCCAGACUCGGACUGUUUUCCUCCACUACAACACCAGAUUCCUGCCGUAAACCCUGGACCAUUGAUCAUCACAGCUAGCUAGCUGCCACUGAGUGACCCAGCCUCGAAGCUUGCACUGAGCCAGGUGCAUCUCCCGGCUAGCAAAUGAAAUUACCACAACUACAAUACCUCUUUCGCCAUCUGGCCCGGUCCCUUCAUCGACAUGGCGCCCCGCCGUACCACCACGACUGGUCCGCAGACGUAAUUCCAUCAGCUGUGCCUCCAAUCGGCCUUUACCGGACGACAGAGCAGACGCUUCUACUUACUCCGGACUGCUAACUUUAAACGCCGUGUCUCCCGCGUGCUAGCGUAGUAACGAAUACCUAGCGGCUUCCCUGUUUCAUCUAUUGCUGUACACUGGACCCUAUGAUCACUUGGCUACAUAGCUGAUGCCUGCUGGACUGUUCAUUUAUCACGGGGAGCCAGCCUUGUAUGUGGAUGAAGGCUCUGAGUGGACACAGGGAGCCGCACUAAACCCAAUACCAUCCUCUCCAUCUGUCUGCAGCAUGGGUGAGGUCAUGGAACCUUUACACUCUGCUCUGGCGUUCUCACUCGAUGAUGGUGGCUGCUGGUGUUCCUAUCCUGGGAGGUUACAGAGGCAUGGCAGGGGCCUGCAGAGGUCGGGCCAAAGGCCCAUUACUUCACGAGUGCAGCACAGGUAACCUUUGCUGCCUUGCCUACAGAAUGGUGCCAACAUGGGAAGUGGUUGCUUGAGGGAUGGGCCCAAAAAAGUGAGGUCAAGCUGCUUCAGCACUUAAUUAAAUCAGAAUGUUAGGUGUAAUGUAUUGCAUGAUGACCUAUAUAGUCAACAAGCUAGCCAUAUUUAAAAAACUAAAGAACUUGGUGGCAUAAUGAAAUCUAAUGAUGACUCUCACUCAAGCAAGGAAUUACAAGCUUGUCUUUAGUAUGCUAGUGGGCCCUUGCUUAGGCCCUCAGUAGGAGGUCACAGUCAAGGGCAAACCUCAUAUUUAGCUACUGUUAGGAUAGCUUACUGUCACACCCUGACCUGUUUCACCGGUCUUGUGCUUGUCUCCACCUCCCUCCAGGUGUCUCCCAUUUUCCCCAUUAUCCCCUGUGCAUUUAUACCUGCGUUUUCUGUUUGUCUGUUGCCAGUUUGUCUUGUCUCGUCAAGCCUACCAGUGUGUUGUUCCAUACUCCUAUUUCUCUAGUUCCCGUUUUCCAGUCUUCCCAGUUCCAACCUUUUCUGCCUGCCCCCGAGCCUGCCUGCCUGCCGUCCUGUACCUAUCUGACUGAGCUGGUUACGAACUUCUGCCGGCCCUGACCCUGAGACUGCCUGCCGCCCUGUACCUGUCAAAGUUGGACCUGGUUACGAACCUCUGCCUGUCCUCGACCUUCCCUUUGCCUGCCUCCUGUGGAUUAAUAAACGAGUCUGUG